CUCUGAAGUGAGAUAGUCAAGCCCUGUGCACACAGUCAGCAUUUGCUACCUGCUGCUGAAUCACUGCCUGAAUAAAUGAAUAAUUUGCCACGGAAGGAGGUGGUCUUCAUUCAAAUCUCCAGCUUCCUUUGAUGGAUGGGAUUUGCCAGAGUACAGAGAAGCUCAGCGCUCCCAAGGGGCAGGUGGCUAGAUAUGGCCACACUGUGUUCAAAGAUCUCGCACUGUUUAGAAACGACCUCGAGGCUGGACCCAGCUGAAAUCCAGGAGCCCUGCCGCUGCUCUCCUGCAUCAACAAGGCACAACUGGAUGUCUAAUAAAUCCAAGCAAGCCAGUGACUAAGAGAGAGCUGAAAGUCAGAGUAUUUGUUUUAUUUUGAGCAGUAAUUACAGAGUCUUGGGUCUGGAGGAGAGCAGAUCCACAGGCAUCUUGGUCAGAAUCCACUGGAGAGCUGGUUCAAGUACAGAUGCCCUCUGGGCCCCUGACUCAGCCCUGGCCUGGAGUAGUGGGAACCUGUGGUUUACAGUCAGCCAGGUUUGAGAAACACUGAUCCAGUCAGAACUCACUGCCUCAUCAGGCAGCCCCAUCCACCUCGGGCCGUCUGACUGAGAGAACCAUCCCCUGAUGCUCACCCAACACCUGUCUUCCUGCGCCUUCUACGCGGUGCUCGUAGUUUCUCUUCGUGGCCACAUAAACUAAGCCUUACCCUUCUUCCACACGAUGCCAACCCUUCUGACAUUUGAAGCCAGGAUCCUCUCCCUUCUUGGGUUUUCCAAACAGCCUUCCUUUGACAGAGGUUCAAGUCCCCUCUCCUCCCAUUACCGCUAUCUGAUCUCCCUUGUCUGAGCAGAGAAGGUGGCGGCUUGAGAAGCCACUCAGACCAUCUAGGGAGUUAGUCAUGAAACCUGAUAAUAACCCCAGCGACUAGUCUCCGAGCAUCGGUUAUCCACCGAGCAUCACACUUCACAGCCCCCUCGUCUCAUCCACAUAACAAGCCUGUGACAUGGGUAGUAUUGUGUCCAGUUUACAAGUGGGUUAAUUGAGGUUCAGAGGCGUGAAGAUGCUUGUCCAGGGGAACUCAGUCAGUGCCCCAGGAGCUGGCGUCAGAACCCAGGCCUGCCUGACUGAGUUCAGAUCAGGGUGCCUUCCGUUUCCUGGCUCAGCCACCCUGGGGCACGACGCAGACAGUUCGAUUCCAAGCCAAAGCUGGAGAGAUGUCUUCCAGCCUGUCCUCCGUCUCCGGGCCUCGUCUGCAGAGACGCCCCAGAGCCUCCAACGCCUGCCGCUCUUCUCUGAGGCUGGUGGAAUGUCUCGUCAAACACCCAGGCACGUUUUUGCCACUUUAAGAAAUCAAGGCAAUUUCUGCUCUUGACAAAGGUAAAAUCCUUUAAAGCUUUGGAGGAUUGGGAAAGGGAAUAAAAAAGACAUUAAUAGAAUGACAUAUUUUUAGUGUAACACUUCAGAGAAAACUCUGGGGGAACAAAAAAUAAAAUGAACGACCUAAAUAUGCUUUUUUUUUUUUACACUGUGAGCUUCAAAGGAGUAGGUUGUGCUGGG
rnacentral:lncRNA from 1 species